CACGUAGGGUGCGAGCGUUGUCCGGAAUUAUUGGGCGUAAAGAGCUCGUAGGCGGUGUGUCGCGUCGGCCGUGAAAACCUGCAGCUUAACUGUGGGCUUGCGGUCGAUACGGGCAUCACUGGAGUUCGGCAGGGGAGACUGGAAUUCCUGGUGUAGCGGUGAAAUUCGUAGAUAUCGGGAGGAACACCGGUGGCGAAGGCGGCGACCUGGGUCGAUACUGACGCUGAUGCGCGAAAGCGUGGGGAGCAAACAGG
rnacentral:rRNA from 1 species